AGCACGAUUCGUUCAAACAUUAGAUCACAUCGCUAUUCGGUCGGCACAGCUCAGUCUUCCAUUUCUCACGACACAGUCCAGUUGUCCGUUUUCGUCUCCCUCCCUUUCUCAUUUGUUGUAAACGUCUUCUAGUGUUGUUGAAAAGUGCCUACCUACCUUUGUUAGUCGUGCAUUAUCCUUUCCAGUCAUUGUUACUCAUGCUCUCAACUACUAAUCAGUCUGUAGUGGCUACAACGCUCUCUCAGUGAAUAACAAGUUCAGCACAACGUUCUCUCAGUGAGUAACAAGUUCAGCACAACGCUCUCCUUCUCUAAACGACCUACUUACUCCAGUCAGCCUACACCGCCAACGUUUGAAGAAGAUUUCACCGAACGGACAACUCACUCAACAUGUCCAGUCAAGACGUCGAAGGAUUUUCUGUGGAGGUACGGCGACGGGAUGCCACAACGGAAAGUCUUCAGGCUGCUGUACCUCCUGAGCAGCCGCAACUGUCCUCCACAUCACGUAAAGUGACAUGGGAAUCAUCAUCAUAUGGGACACUCUGCUACUCAAUGGGAACAAUGCUCCUUUUUGUGAUCUGCUUGGAGGGUGAGCAUCUUCGUGAUGAAAUCCUCUACACUAUUGUACACUACAUAUUUAGUGUACAUAGUGUAGAGGUGAAUGAGCAAGACGAAACUCGUGUAAGUUGUUGUGUUCUUGAUUGUUACAAGACUCAGUACUGUUCAGGUUUGUCAUGGUUGUUCUGUCUGUCUGUCUGUCUGUCUGUCUGUCUCUCUGUCUCUCUGUCUGUCUCUCUGUCUGUCUCUCUGUCUGUCUCUCUGUCUGUCUCUCUGUCUGUCUCUCUGUCUGUCUCUCUGUCUGUCUGUCUGUCUGACGUUUCACUCCAGUGUUUCUGUAUCCCUACACUGUACCAUGUAUCCGUCUGUCCACAUGCCUCAAGAUUUCGCGUCAUUGGGAUGUACAACUGACUGUGUGUCUGUCACGUGUGUGUAUGUGUGUGUGUGCGUGUGUGCGUGCAUGUGUGUGUGUGUGUGCAUGUGCCUGUGUGCCUGUAUGUGUGGGUGUGUGUCUGUCUGUGUGUAUGUGGGUGUCAGCGCGCGCGCGCGCGCGUGUGUGUGUGCG